rnacentral:tRNA from 3 species
GGGGACGUAGCUCAGCUGGGAGAGCGCGGGCUUUGCAAGCCUGAGGUCGUGGGUUCGAGACCCAUCGUCUCCACCA